UGGCCUUUAGAAUCUACUUACCUGAAUGCAUGUCUGCUCAAACUCAGAAAAAGUUGGCAGUAGUAGUGCAAGUUACAAGGCUUCAAGACAUUGAAGUCAUUAAGGUCUCGUAAUUGGCUAUGAUA
rnacentral:snoRNA from 1 species